rnacentral:tRNA from 1 species
CUCAAUGUAGCAAAUUUUAUGCGAUGGCUUUAAGCGCCAUAAAAAGAUGUUUUCU